UUCCAUUCGAACCCCGCAGGAGAGAUGGCAAUGUGUUUUCUUCAACAUGCUCAGCCUCCCGGGUUACAGAGGGGACUUCUGCAGCCAGGCGAGCCCUGUGCCAUGGCCGUCUCCCUACAUGCCACCUCUUGGCCCCCUGCCUGCUCUCAAGCUCUCUUCCCAGGCUGUUCUGGUUCCUGAGACAGGAGAGAAAGCCGGGAGGGCCAGGCCGGGGAUGAACUAGCCGCUGGGGAGUGAAAGCCGCACACUUCUUGGAACUCAGGAGCCCGUGAAGGGCCGGAAUGGAGAGCAGGCGAGACAAUUGGGAGAAAUGCCCUGGGGAAGGCGCUGCAGCCUCCCCUGCAGCUGGGCGCCCAGUUCAUGGUACCUUGUUUAGCAGCCCAAACGGACCAAGGCAGAUGAUGCGCUCCCAGCGACCGCGUGGACACCCACGGGAAGGCUAUGCAGCUUCCACAUAAAACACGGAGCUGCCUCUCCUUAGCAGCCCUCCUCACAGUUGCAGACAUCUGGAACCCGCUCCAAUUCUCACUGGCAAGGGAACGAAUGAAUACACGGUGUUGUGGUCAUACAACGGAAUACUACACACCAGGGAAAAUUCUACCAUCUACAGUCACGCAAAAAAUGCAGCAGCAUGGGUCUUCACACAGAACACCAGGGGAAGUAUGCGAACUGUGCGAUAUAACUCACACCGAAUGAUCACACUUGUAUAAAGUCCCAAAACAGGUAAUAUACCAAGUUACAAGUCAGGAGCGUAGACAGAUGCCUCUGCGUGGACAGUGCCCGGAAGGCCUCCUAAGCUGUGCUCCUCCAAUGCUGGUAAAGUGUUGCUUUCUGAUCUGAAUAUUGUUCACAGGAGUGGUCUCCAUUUAUGAGAAUUCUUAGAGACAUGCUCCUAGGCUAUGAGCAUUUUUCUGUGUGUGUUAUAUGUCAAUUUGAAGUUGAACAAAGAAAGGC
rnacentral:lncRNA from 10 species